rnacentral:tRNA from 2 species
GCCUUCUUAGUUCAGUGGCUAGAAUUUUCCACUAGUAGUGUCUCUCGAGAUUUGCUAUGGAACGGUCACCCGUUCGAUUCGGGUAGAAGGCA